rnacentral:lncRNA from 1 species
CACAAAAUACCAGUCUCUGUUGCUAUCUGGGCAGCAAACGAUCCAGUUACAAAACCCCCUCGUAUCUCCUGCUUCCUUGGAUCGCUCCUGAUACCAAUUACAGGUUGAGUUCCAUAGUCAGUAGAGUCUGAGAUGCAGUGUUUCAUGCAGAUCAUGAAGCAAUGCCUUGGUACCAACUCCUGGGAAAGGGAGGUGAAGGAAGAGGGAUCAGGACGCGAGAAAAGUCAAGAAGCAUUGCAUGUCCAAUAACAGCUUGGGAGAUUCUGCAGGAAACUCUAAAACUAGCCUGGCCUUUAGUUUGUCCCACAUUGAAGCAAAUAACCAGAACUUUAUGCCUUUUAUUAAAUAUCCAUUAAAUGAGGAACCCCUGAAAGGGGCAUGACUUUGGCCAAAGUGGCUUUCUGCAGCUGAGUUAGUCCCUGAAAGAGUCGACACCUAAACACUCCCCUUCUCUCUUUCUCCAGAACAAGCCCUUCAGGGAGGCAAAUGGUAUGCUGGACACAAAGCUCUGCCGGGGACACAAAGGUUGUAUCUGCUUCUCUACAACACAUCAGCCUUCUCACUAUCUUAAGCUUCCUUGUAACUUCAGUUUGCACAUCAUGGCUUCUUUUGGGCUUUUCCCCCGUAUCAUAACUUUCCACCUUAAACUCCUACCAGUAACUGGAAAACAUUUCAUGUAUUUCUUAUUCCAAAUUUAAGUUUAUGGAAGCAGAAAUUGGACAGGCCUGAGCCAUCUUUUCAAGUCAGGCCACAGUGGUCACUGUUGCCUACUCAGCCUAUAGUCAAGGGACCAUUUGUUAUGUACACAUCAAGGAAAAAGGUUUCUUUUAGAAGUGACUGUGGUCAAGGAGGAUGCUCCAGCCAAUAUCUAAGUAGCAUACUGGCCGAAGUUUUCAUACAGUGCACUCAGAAUCCUUUGAUAGUGGACUCAGGCCAUCCAUAGCUUCCUUUGUUCAUGCCUUGGGCAUUGUAAGUAGAAAAGUCCAUUGACUAGAUCUCAGGAAUAAAGUGUUUCUUCAAACAAAAGAGAAGUUUUUA